GGAGCUUGCUCCUGGAUUCAGCGGCGGACGGGUGAGUAAUGCCUAGGAAUCUGCCUGGUAGUGGGGGACAACGUUUCGAAAGGAACGCUAAUACCGCAUACGUCCUACGGGAGAAAGCAGGGGACCUUCGGGCCUUGCGCUAUCAGAUGAGCCUAGGUCGGAUUAGCUAGUUGGUGAGGUAAUGGCUCACCAAGGCGACGAUCCGUAACUGGUCUGAGAGGAUGAUCAGUCACACUGGAACUGAGACACGGUCCAGACUCCUACGGGAGGCAGCAGUGGGGAAUAUUGGACAAUGGGCGAAAGCCUGAUCCAGCCAUGCCGCGUGUGUGAAGAAGGUCUUCGGAUUGUAAAGCACUUUAAGUUGGGAGGAAGGGUUGUAGAUUAAUACUCUGCAAUUUUGACGUUACCGACAGAAUAAGCACCGGCUAACUCUGUGCCAGCAGCCGCGGUAAUACAGAGGGUGCAAGCGUUAAUCGGAAUUACUGGGCGUAAAGCGCGCGUAGGUGGUUUGUUAAGUUGGAUGUGAAAUCCCCGGGCUCAACCUGGGAACUGCAUCCAAAACUGGCAAGCUAGAGUAUGGUAGAGGGUGGUGGAAUUUCCUGUGUAGCGGUGAAAUGCGUAGAUAUAGGAAGGAACACCAGUGGCGAAGGCGACCACCUGGACUGAUACUGACACUGAGGUGCGAAAGCGUGGGGAGCAAACAGGAUUA
rnacentral:rRNA from 1 species